AUAUUAAAUGUUUUUUAACUCGAUUAUCGAAGCAUGGCGUCUACAUACCUAAAAACUCAGCAGAAAGUGCAUUUUUCAAAGUGGCAAUAAUAAAAUUUAUCAGUUUAGUUUUAGAACCGAUUAAUCGAUUAUUAAAAUGAAUUUUUUAAUUGAAAAACAACUAAAUAAAUUUAUUGACCAUGGUUAGAAAAUAAUUGUUUAAUUUAGAGCGGAUGUUACGUGUCUAGUUGAGGGAGUAUAUAAAACCGAUUUUUACCAAUACAUCGAUAGUCUAGUAAUAGUAAUUGCUAGUUAACAAGAAAAUAUGAAGAUAUUCCCAAUUCUUUUGGUAGUUUCUUUUUACUGCCUCUUUAUGGUAGGAGAUACUCACGCACAAGCUUCUGGGAUCGAAAGCGAGGAAAAGGUUAGACAACUACCCAGCGAUACCCAAGAAACAAAAAGUAAUGACGAGGGCCCUACUAAAUUAGUAAGAAAUAAUAAUCCGUGCCCAAAAGGACAAAUGAAAGAUUAUAAUGGAGUGUGUCAAGUAGUAUUUGAUUAAUGAAACAUAAUCAAAAUUUGUGUUGAAAAUAAACGCUGCAAAUUAAUUUUAUUUAUUUUUUUAUUUAUAUUACUUAUCGGUACAUAGAGAAUUAGAAUGUAAUAGUUUCAAAUCCUAUGAGCGUCUUCACUUGAUCGAUAUUUUUUGGGUCUGUUUGAAUUCUCAAAAAGAAUUAGUUGCCUUAUCAUUUGAAACUAUACGUAACAGAAUCGUUAUUUCAAAAUGUCAGAUUAAUUUGAAAUUUGGCAAAAUUUCUACACCACAUUCAUCGUUUAUGAAGUGGUAUUUCAUAUUAAAUGUUUUUUAACUCGAUUAUCGAAGCAUGGCGGCUACAUACAUAAAUUCUCAGCAGAAAGUGCAUUUUUCAAAGUGGCAAUAAUAAAAUUUAUCAGUUUAGUUUUAGAACCGAUUAAUCGAUUAUUAAAAUGAAUUUUUUAAUUGAAAAAUAACUAACUAAAUUUAUUGACCAUUGUUAGAAAAUAAUUGUUUAAUUUAGGGUGGAUGUUACGUGUCAAGUUAAGGGAGUAUAUAAAACCGAUUUUUACCAAUACAUCGAUAGUCUAGUAAUAGUAAUUGCUAGUUAACAAGAAAAUAUGAAGAUAUUCCCAAUUCUUUUGGUAGUUUCUUUUUACUGCCUCUUUAUGGUAGGAGAUGCUCACGCACAAGCUUCUGGGAUCGAAAGCGAAGAAAAGGUUAGACAACUACCCAGCGAUACCCAAGAAACAAAAAGUAAUGACGAGGGCCCUACUAAAUUAGUAAGAAAUAAUGUUGAUGUUCCAAUUACGUGCACAGAAGGAUAUAUGAGAGAUGAAGAUGGAGAGUGUCAAAUAGUAUUUGAUUAAUCAAACAUAAUCAAAAUUUGUGUUGAAAAUAAACGCUGCAAAUUA